CCAGGUGGGUUGGCCGAGGCCCAACAAAUUAGGGUUGCCCGGAGCCCAACAGUUCAUUAAGCACACCCAACUCAGGGAAAGGCCUAAUCGCCCCAAAAGACUAGUCCAAUGGGGGAAGGGUGACUCUCCCUUUCAAAGUGGCUUCCUCCUCCCAAGUUAAGCGAGGUGGGAUAAUUCUGAGGCUCACACGGUCGCCGUCCGACUACAAUUGGGCCAACUGGGCCAAUUGUGUCUUUGCCAACGGGUAAUAGUGGAGGAUGUCCUCAUCAUUCCCACCUUCUUAAAAUGGGCCCUAGCUCUAAUACCAGAUGAUACACCCAUCCCAGGUGGGGUUGGCCGAGGCCCAACAAUUUAGGGUUGCCCGGAGCCCAACAGUUCAUUAAGCACACCCAACUCAGGGAAAGGCCCAAUCACCCUAAAAGACUAGUCCAAUGGGGGAAGGGUGACUCUCCCUUUUAAAGUGGCUUCCUCCUACCAAGUUUAGCGAGGUGGGAUAAUUCUGAGGCUCACACGGUCGUCGUCCGACUACAAUUGGGCCAACUGGGCCAAUUGCGUCUUUGCCAAC
rnacentral:lncRNA from 1 species